CCGCCUCCUCAACCCUAACCCCCAAACUCAAGCGCGUCACCACUCAUCGAUGUUCCCGUUCUACCGCCGUUCGCUGUUGUCUCAACCUCAUCCAGAGUCUUUCACCUUUGAAUUAAAGUGGACAAUGAUCUAACAUGCACAAGAAAAAGACACAUGGGUUCCUAUGAAUCCUACCAAGGAAAAGUCUUUAAGAAAACCAGAGCAAAUGUUCAGUUUACAGACCUUCCUGAGGAUAUGCUACCUAUGGUUCUAUCAAAGUUGCCACUAAAGGAUGCUGUAAGGAGUGGCAUUCUAUCAAGUAAAUGGAAAGAUAGGUGGAUGUUAUGCCCCAAACUAAGAUUUGAUGUUCUCACAGUGUCCAAGAAUGUGUUUUACGAACAACAAUACACUCAGAAAUUCAUUAAGACUGUGAAUGCAGUCAUGCAACAACAUCAGGGCAUGGUUGUUGAAGAGCUCAUGAUCAAAUUUGAGUUUGACUGCAGGAUACUAGAUCAUACCAAUUCGUGGGUUGCUUUUGCUGUAUCAUCGCGGACGAAGAGCCUUGCCCUUGAUAUAGCACCAACCGAUUACUUCGGUCGUACUGAUCAGUGCAGAUUUCCGCUCGAGCUUUUAGACAACGGAAGCAUAUUUCAGCUUCGUCAUCUAAAACUUAGCUUUGCAUCAUUUGAACUGCCCCCUCAAUUCAGCGGUUUUCCAAAUCUGAGAACACUUGACUUGUACUUGUUACGUGUCAGCCGGAAGGAUCUUCAAGAUAUGCUGUCAAAUUGCAUUAAUCUUGAGUGGUUCAGUAUGUUUAGAUGCCACCUGAAUGAUGAGCUGACAGUAGCUUGUCCAUUGUCAAAGUUAUUAUACUUCCGUGUUGUGCACUGCAGGAUAACAAAGAUAGCACUCAAUGCGGCAAAACUCAAAACUUUCAUUUUCUAUGGGCGUCUGUAUCCUGUUGACCUUGGGGAUGCUCCAAACUUGAAACACGCAUUUCUUGAUUUCUAUACCCCAGUGACUCCUGAACAUGCUUUGACUAUACUUCCCAAAGUGCUUCCAAGUGUUCAGGAUCUGACAUUGCGUGCUUCUUUUGAACUCAAGAUGCCCUUGUUGAUGGAGACCUCUUGCAAGUUUUCCCACUUAAAAUGUUUAGAUUUGUGGUUGAUUUUAGAUGACAAAGAAGUUGACAAUAUUCUGUCUUUGGCCUCACUUUUGAGGGCUGCUCCUUUCGUUGAAAUGUUAGGGAUGAAUUUUCGUGUUUUUGGUGUCCCACAUCAUGUCUCAGAGCCUAUUAAAAGCAUUACCAAGUGUCCACAUAAUCAUUUGAAGAACCUGCAUAUUACAGGAUUUUCUGGAACAACAACACAACUUGAAUUUCUAGUGCAUGUUGUUGAAAGUGCCCAUGCCCUGGAGAUUUUGACGAUUAAUGGACCUAACAUAGCUCGCCGUGAUGAUAAAUGGCUAAUAAGAUUCCGUUCCCUAGUUCGAGAACUGGAGAGAAAAUAUCUUCAUGAAAUAAUUUCACCAAAUGUGAAGCUCUCCAUUUUCUUCCGGAAUUCUAAAAUGCUGGAAGGACAGAAACACAUGAGUUUUCUGGAAGAAAUCGACGCCGCCAUAUUAUAUUAUGCAACUCAUCAAUGAGGAGGCCAAGAUUUGGGUCACCGCGGGGCCGAAACACUGGAGUCUUCCUUUGGUUUACAGGAAUUUGGUAGGAAUUAUGUAGAAAAAUAUCCCUUGAAUCUCUUUGAUUUGUAGGGAUGUUUUCCUAUUCCUAUGUAGGAUAUGAAACAAUCCUUCACAUUUCGAAGGAAAAAAAUAUUAGUCUAGAUUCAGUUUAAAAAAAUCCCAUCUUAUACAUCAGAUGCCAUCUAUUUUCCUAUAGAAAUUCUGAUACGUGUCAUCUCACUUUCUAUGAUUUUCAUACCUAUGAUAUUCCUAUCCUAUAAGUCAAAGAAGUCCAGAGUAAUUUGAUGGCGCGGGAAUAAAAACUUUAUUGUAUUCCGAACUGUUGUUGUAAUGCACCUUCUUUUUCGAGCAUUAACCUUGUAAACUCCCUUCUUAAUUAAUGGAUGAGACAAUUUUUUUGCCCCCGUUAAAAAAGACUCAACACAUGUGUAUGUAACCUUUUGGUUGUAAAUUAUGUCGAACGAUUCGUCCUCAAUGCCUUUUCUUCUUUCCAUCGUCGAGUGUGUUUGUUAUUAUACUGUUUGCAAAACAUUAUAUUGUAUUUGUACAGCUCCGACAAGCUGUGUGGAUGCUUGAAAACUGGGAGACAAACACUCUAUGAUAUCGAGCAGAAGCACAAUCCAAAUCCAAGGAAAUGUAAAUCAGGGACACAAGUUGACUACUGUAUCAUUCGUCAAUGUGUACACAUAGGAUAAGAAAGAACUGGUACCACACGGAGGAUGAGAAAAGAACUGCUGGCUACUGUGUCGUCCGCCAUGGGCACGGGCUAGCGUAUCAUUGUCCGUGUUCCAUGAACAUGAGUGUCUCACACAAAAGGUAUUACUUACAAAUUUAUCAAGAAAUGAAAUGAAAAAAACAGUUAACAGUAAAAUAGGGUUCUGUUCAUCUCCUCGGUGCUAAUCAAGACUGAAGUGUACUGCUCAAGUGUAAAAAAAAUCUCCUAAAUUCUCGAAGCUCCCUGACGGGAUCUUCAGAUUCUCCAGGUAAAAAAGGAAGAGCAGUCCACCCUUUCGUCCUCCCUUCUCGGACUCGUCUCGCAGUCGCAGUCCCUUGUCCUGACCGACCUCCAGUGGGGAUCGGAUCGGACCCAACGAUGCUCUGAAAUACCACCCUCUGUGACCUAGAGCGGCCUCCGUGCCGUAGCGUAGCGCCACCGCGGACGCCUCAACCGCAGCCCCCAAACUCAGCUGCCGCGUCGCCGCCCAUCGCCGUUCCGUUCUGCCGUCGCGCCGCUGCUGUCUCUACACCGGCCGCCAUCUUUGCCAUCGCAAAAUGGGCAGCGAUCUAACACACACGAGAAAAAGACCGAGGCACUACUACCACGGGCAAGUCAUUAAGAAAACGAGAGCAAAGGUUCAGUUUGCAGACCUUCCUGAUGAUCUGCUGUCUAUGAUUCUAUCAAAAUUGCCACUGAAGGAAGCUGCAAGAACCGUUAUUCUGUCAAGUAAAUGGAACGACGUGUGGAGAGUUUGCCCCAAACUGAGAUUUGAUGGCUUCACAGUGUGCAGUGACAUCGUGUUUGGGGGAGAACAGUACACUCAGAAAUUCAUUGACAAUGUUAAUGCAGUCAUGCAGAAGCAUCAGUGCAUGGUCGUUGAAGAGCUCGUGAUCAAAUUUGGGUUUGACCACAGGGUACUAGAUCAUAUCAAUACCUGGGUUGCUUUUGCUAUAUCAUCGCGGACAAAGAGCCUUGCCCUUGAUUUAGGACCAGUCGACAUCCAAGGUCGUAUUGAUCAGUACAGAUUUCCGGUCGAGCCUUUAGACAACAGAAGCAUAUCCCGGCUUCGUCAUCUUCAACUUAGCAUUGCAUCAUUUGAACUACCCCCUCAAUUCAGCGGUUUCCCGAAUCUGAGAGCACAUGACUUGCACUUGGUAAAUGUCACUCGGAAGGAUCUUCAAGACAUGCUGUCAAAUUGCAUUAAUCUUGAGUGGUUCAGUAUGGUUAGAUGCCAUUUGAAUGAUGAACUGAUAGUAGCUCGUCCAUUGUCAAACCUGAUAUACCUGCGUGUUGCACACUGCAAGAUAACCAAGAUAGUACUCCAUGCGGUGGAACUCAAAACUUUCUUAUUCUAUGGACGUCUGUAUCCAAUCGACCUUGGGCAUACUCCCAAACUGAAGCACACAUUUCUUGAUAUCUAUUCCCUGUUAACUGUUGAGCAUGCUUUGACUGUGCUUCCCAAAGUGCUUCCAAGUGUUCAAGAUCUGACAUUGCAUGCUCAUUUUACUCUUAAGAUGCCUUUGUUGAUGGAAAUCCAUGCAAGUUUUCCCAGUUGAAAUAUUUACAUUUGAAGCUGUCAAUUGGUCAUAAAGAAGCUGCCAACAUUCUAUCUUUUGCCUCUUUUCUGAGGGCUGCUCCUUCUGUUGAAAAGUUAGAAAUGCAUUUUAGUGUUUUGGCCUUCCCACAUCGUGUCUCGGAGCCUAUCAAGAGCCUUCCACGGUGUCCACAUAGUUAUCUGAAGAACCUACAUAUUACAGGAUUUUCGGGAACAACAGGACAACUUGAAUUUCUAGUGCACGUUGUUGAAAAUGCCCCUGCUCUGAAGAUACUGACGAUUAAAGGAGCUGACUCGAUUGGUCGUGAUCUCAAUCAUGAAGGGAAAAGAAAAUUUUCUUUGAAGUUCCGCGAAUUGGAGAGGAAAUACCUUCAUGGGAUAAUUUCACCAAAUGUGGACCUCCGUAUUAUUUAAGUGUGCCAGACAUCUAGCUGCUCUUGUACACGCAGCGGGCUGCAAUUCCAUUUGUACACGCAGCGGGCUGCUGUUCCAUUUGCCCGAUCGGUGUACAACUGGAUGCUGGAGGAGCGCCGACCGGUCUGCCUGACACCUGCAGUGUCGUGGGUCCGCGAUGCGGUUUACCUCAGCACCUCUAUGCUCCUCGUUGGCGGCUUGGGCAUGGCUGCUUUCUCCGCGCUUAGGGCAUGUCCAACAGUUUGUAUGUUAGCUUGUUGGUAAAAUAUACCAUGUCAUCAACCAACACCUUAACAUACAACAUCUUCAAUGGGUUGUAUCUAGUAUGCCUAAUAGGAUGUGAGAUAAUAAAUAAGGUGCUCUCUGAUUCUACA